rnacentral:rRNA from 1 species
CCUACGGGAGGCAGCAGUGGGGAAUCUUGCGCAAUGGGCGAAAGCCUGACGCAGCCACGCCGCGUGCGGGAUGAAGGCCCUAGGGUUGUAAACCGCUUUUAACAGGAACGAAAAUGACGGUACCUGUAGAAUAAGGUGCGGCCAACUACGUGCCAGCAGCCGCGGUGACACGUAGGCACCAAGCGUUGUCCGGAUUUAUUGGGCGUAAAGAGCUCGUAGGCGGUUCAGUAAGUCGGGUGUGAAAACUCUGGGCUUAACCCAGAGACGCCACUCGAUACUAUUGUGACUAGAGUUCGGUAGGGGAGCGGGGAAUUCCUAGUGUAGCGGUGAAAUGCGCAGAUAUUAGGAGGAACACCGGUGGCGAAGGCGCCGCUCUGGGCCGAUACUGACGCUGAGGAGCGAAAGCGUGGGUAGCAAACAGGAUUAGAUACCCUGGUAGUCCACGCCGUAAACGGUGGGCACUAGGUGUGGGUUCCAACCAACGGAAUCCGCGCCGUCGCUAACGCAUUAAGUGCCCCGCCUGGGGAGUACGGCCGCAGGUUAAAACUCAAAUGAAUUGACGGCUGAGACGNGCGAGCGACGACGAGGGAGUUAG